rnacentral:misc_RNA from 1 species
GAACUGCGAUAAGUAAUGUGAAUUGCAGAAUUCAGUGAAUCAUCGAGUCUUUGAACGCACAUUGCGCCCCCUGGCAUUCCGGGGGGCAUGCCUGUCCGAGCGUCAUUGCUGCCCUUCAAGCCCGGCUUGUGUGUUUGGUCGUCGUCCCCUCCGGGGGACGGGCCCGAAAGGCAGCGGCGGCACCGCGUCCGGUCCUCGAGCGUAUGGGGCUUUGUCACCCGCUCGAUAAGGACCGGCCGGGCGCCAGCCGGCGUCUCCAACCUUUUUUUCUCAGGUUGACCUCGGAUCAGGUAGGGAUACCCGCUGAACUUAAGC